rnacentral:rRNA from 1 species
CCUACGGGUGGCAGCAGUGAGGAAUAUUGGUCAAUGGACGAGAGUCUGAACCAGCCAAGUAGCGUGAAGGAUGACUGCCCUAUGGGUUGUAAACUUCUUUUAUAUGGGAAUAAAAUGUUCCACGUGUGGGAUUUUGUAUGUACCAUAUGAAUAAGGAUCGGCUAACUCCGUGCCAGCAGCCACGGUAAUACGGAGGAUCCGAGCGUUAUCCGGAUUUAUUGGGUUUAAAGGGAGCGUAGGUGGAUUGUUAAGUCAGUUGUGAAAGUUUGCGGCUCAACCGUAAAAUUGCAGUUGAAACUGGCAGUCUUGAGUACAGUAGAGGUGGGCGGAAUUCGUGGUGUAGCGGUGAAAUGCUUAGAUAUCACGAAGAACUCCGAUUGCGAAGGCAGUUCACUGGACUGCAACUGACACUGAGGCUCGAAAGUGUGGGUAUCAAACAGGAUUAGAUACCCUUGUAGUC